UCCUAGAUCCUGGAUCAUCGUUCUGCACCGACGCUGCCGAGUAGCGGCUCAACAAUUUCCCGCCAGCGAGACAGCAGCUAGGCGCCUCAGCGUCAUCUCGGGGCUGAAGGCAGCAGCUCGAUGUCCAGAACGUGGACAUGUACACCUUUGGAGUGUCCCUGGAAUUCUCUGUUUCUCACUUUCUCUACUCCCUCUCUCCCGUGAAUACCGCCGCCGCCCUCCACCAUUCCCGCACACGCCAGCCGCCUCUAUCUCUCGUGCAGCCCAUUCGCCGGUGUACGGCUCCCGCAACCCCAGCCGCGACGGCCCUGCCACUCUCCCCACCGACACCGUUGUGGAACCGGCCAGAUCCGUGCUCGCCCGUCACUACCGACGAAAGCAUGUCCAAGAGUACCCUCCGGCGAGCUCCAAGUUUCCAGGAGGACCAAUCCCGUUUCCAAGUAAACAUGAAAGUAUGCUGAAGGGCCUCUUUGCAUUAUAGAGAAGUGGCUGCACAGAUCUUGAUGCAAAAAUGAACGUUCAGGAUAGGACAGGGACGCCCACAUAUAUGUAGCAUGGGAUUUUCAGGGAAGAAUCCGGCCAAGACCGAGGUCACCGUAAUCCGCCAGGAAGAAGCAUCUUACACCGUAUUGCAGGGACCUUGUCACCUUGGGCAUUCUCAAUACGUUGUUGCUUGGGUUUAACAUGUUCUAGAGUGCCACUACGGUCACUCUGUAUCUCGUCGUCCUACACUUCCAAGGAUGGCUGCCGCUCCAUCGAGAAGAUGCAGAGAUGAACCAAACACCCUUUUAUGAUAUGAUUUAGAAGUAUUUUGAUUACAUAGCGGAGGAGCUCAAUAACCUACAGAAACAGAGGUACCCUAGAUGUUUAUGAGAUCUUUCGUGUUUGACAUAUGCAACACUGCCGCAUCAACUAUUUUAAUAAAUUUAGGAUUAGGAUCAUUUGUUUGGAUACGUUUUCAAUCACUGCAACGCAGAUGCAUGCUGUCAAUUUUCUAAAAAUAUGGGUGUGUUUCUGACUUCCUCCCAUAAUGGCAUAAUUAUUUAAGAUUCUUGCUUAAUUGAGGGCAAUUGUUUGACUUUUAGAGUGGUUUUAUGCAUAAUUAACGCCAUACUUAAUUUUUUCAGGAUCAUGUCUCGUGUAGAUUGAAAACCUAAAAUGACGCAAAUUCAGUCAAUGUAGCUCACAAAAAAACUUAGUAUUUGCUACGUAUUGGAUCUAUUUGCAUGGUGUUUACAAAGUUUUGGAAGGAUCCAAAAACUGGAAAUCAACAUAUCUAGAUUUUGGCAAAAUUGUGUCGGUAUAUAUGUUGCCCAAUGCUCGGAUCUAUGGAUAAUUUAUAAUUGUUAUUUUGAACCUUACCUGAUCAAUGACUCAAAUUUCAUACGAGAUAAGUCUUGUUCAUGUCUAGCUAUAUCAGUUAAGUAUGCACAUCUUACAAGUUCAGAACACUUCUUGUUGCAUUCAGUAAUCUAUGGUGCCAUAUUUACGCUUAAUGCCUUAUGACGAAUUCUUGGAAGCCAUGUCAAUUCAAGUAUAUUAAUUUACCUCAACUGUGUCACCGGAGGCAUGCAUUUACAAAGUAAUAUGGGAUUUUUAAUGAACCUUUAGAAAACUCUGAGGUGCAUACCAUGUUGCCAUUUUUGUGUUUGAGUUGCUCUCUUUUGUUUCACCUAUGCGGAUUAAAUUAACCCUUAUGUGGACAGAUCAUUCAGAAGCUUUUGGAAAUUCAUUUACUGUGGCAAAAUCUAUUCAAAGAGAAAUGUAGAAAAUAGUUCCUCUAUACAUAGUCCUAAAGGACUGAGAAGAAAGACGACGCUGAAAAGACUAAUGAAAAAUUCCUAACAUCUUCUAUGAUACUUAGCAUCAAUAAAGCAAAUAUCUGAUUUAAUCCUUUAACAUCGACCGGGAGUAAUGAUUUUCUCAUCCCAACGGACAUGUAGCAAGUGCAAGCGCCAUGAUCCAUGUCAAAUAAUAGUGCAAGACUAAUGUUGUGGAGUUCAUUUCGCUAUGCAAUCAAUGUUGACAUGUACACUAAUGACUAUUUUGAACAUCUAAUUUAGAUCUCUCUCCUUGUGAUGAAUACUCUUUACUGCCUGCCUUCAUGAGUCCACUCCCUCCUGAAGUCAUGACCCCAUGAAAAUUAAUUCCGACGGAUCUAUAGUUUGAAGGUGCAAGGCGUCAUGGAAGCGCUCCAACCAGGCUUAGUAACUUAUUUGCCUCAUCAUUUUGCCAAUCAAUAUCCAUAUAAAUAAUAGUGACUUAAGAUCAUACUUGGCAUGUAAGUUGAGCGAUGGCAUGGGAAAUAAAUCUAAGGAUCUUAGAGCUCCACCGAUUAUGUAGAUUUGUCACCAAGUACUUGUCAGUAUAUUUCUCGACAUUUGCGUUUCAAAUACUUUUCCACUUGUAAUUGCUGUCAAAAAUUUAUUGUCUGCCUUUUAACUUUAAUUUCUCAAAAAUAUUCUAGCAGAACAUAAUGAUGAUGAAAAGGAUGUUUGGACUUGGGGCAGUAAUUACAAUACCAAUAAGGUAUACAAUGAAAUUAUAGGAGCUGAGAGUGCGCCAACACCAUUUAAAUGUAUAUGGAAAUCGUGUUGUCUUUCUAGACAUAAAAUUUUCUUCUGGUUAUUGCGUCUUGACAGACUAAACACUUAUGACAUGAUGGUUCGCAAGAACUUCUUUGUUUAGUGCAGCAGUUGUGUGUUAUGUCAGGAAGGAGACGUGGAAACAAGGCCUCACUUGUUCUUUCAAUGUCAAUUCAGUCAAGAGUUUUGGUGGAUGCUAGGCAUCGAAUGGAAUGUAGAGCUACAGUUCAAUGAGAUGCUCGCAGAUGCAAAACAAAGGCGUAACUUUCCAUGUUUUAAGGAAUCCCUAAUUGUUGGCUGUUGGAGCUUAUGGAACCACAUAAACAAUCACAUAUUCGAACACACAGACAUACAAAAAACAUAUGUUUUCAGAUGUUCAAAGAGUACUUUAGACUUGUCAUGCUAAAAGCGAAGCCAGGGCUCAAGGAAGGAAUGCAACAAUGGCUGGAUAAUCUAUUUUGUCUUAGUUUUUUUCCGUAUGUAAAUAACCAUCUGUAAUUUUCCCAUUCUAUAAAUGAAAAUGGCGCA